rnacentral:lncRNA from 1 species
AGAGAACGGAUAGCUACAUUCCAAAUCGCAAAAAAUGUAAAAAAUCAUAUGGGCAUGAAUAACAUUCAGCCACAAAUAUUUAUGAAGCUUCUGCUGUGUGCCAGACAAAAUGGCUGGGUAUUAGGACUAUGACAGUGAAGAUAACACAGCCCUUGCUCUCAAGGAUUUACAGUUGAUGAGAAAGGCAGACAAAUCCAGGAGGCAUUAUAAUCCACCAUGACAGCUGCUGAGCUCUUCUGUGGGAAUUUGCAGCAGUGGCACCCACAUAUGUGGGCAUUUGGAGAAAGUGGGGAAAGCUUCCAGGAGGAAAUGAUGUCUUAACUGGGACAGAAGCAAGAAGAGUCAGCCAGCUUGGAUCUCCUGACCUUGGCCUGGACCUGGAUCUGGGAGGCUGACUCUAUUGACCAUGGGGAAGGAGCUAACAGGAUUGAACCUCAGGACCGUCCUCUGCAAAAUGAGGAAUUUAGGCUAGCACAGUGGUUCUCAAAGUGUGGUCCCCAGACCAGCGACCUCAGCAUCGCCCUGGAACUAGUUAGAAAUGCACAUUCUCUGGUCCCAACCCAGACCUACUGAACCAGUGCCUCUGGGAGUGGAUCCCAGAAAUCUGUGUUUUAACACACGUGCUAUCUAGGAGGUUCUGAUGCAGGCCAAAGUUCGAAAACCGCUGAACUGGAAGAUCUCUAAAAUUCCUCCUAGGAGAUAAACCUUUAAGACUUGCUAUAAGAAUUAAGUGCCAUGAUUAUGGUGCAUAUUAUUUAUGAAACUUGUUCAAUGUGCCCUGCCCUUCCUAUUCAUUAUCUCUACAACCUCCUUCUAAAAUAAGUAUCAAUUAAAAGUAUUUUCCAAAUGAGCAAAAGGAGGCCCGGAGAGGUUAAAUAAUUCAUCAGGAGACACGCAGCUGGAGAUGAACAGGAGGAGGAUUUGAAUGGGAAGCCAUCUCAGUGUGCUCUCUCUACUACCUCCCAUGAGCAAACACAGUGACAAGUGAACUCAAUGAAUAUCAUUUUCCGGUGAUUCUGUGACCUUUGAGUACCUGCAUCCUCCUACCUUAACCAACUUUGCCAGCCUCCUUCACUGCCCUACCUGAUCGACAGUAAUUUCCAGCUCUCUUCCUUCCCCCAUGCUCAGCCCAACACCCAGCCCUGGCUUUCUCACCUUCCUGGGACCCCCUGCGUUCCACGGUAGUGAACAGAGACACACGACAGCCAUUCCGUGGAUCUACAGUGACUGUUCUCCUGGACACAGAGCCAACGUGGCUACUGAAGGAAAGAGGCCAGUCCUAAGUUCAGGAUCUGUGACGGCCUGGAAAAUGUACUCUGUCCCCCCACAACCUCCCGCUACAACCUCCCCCUAAAAGAAAAACUUUCUACAGGUGAUGUUGAGAUUGCCACAGGCUUUGGUCCUCACAGACUGCAAAUACCUAUGGGAGAAAGAAUGCUUCCACAGAGGAGCGCCGAGGGGAAGGAGAGCACCUCACUGGGAUGGGAUGGGAGUGGGGUGACAGCACCGCCCAGAGGCAUACAAGCUGGCCUCUCUCUGGUUUUGUGGAGGCGGCCCUUGCUGGUAUCCUAGAGUUGUCUCCCUGGCCUGCUUAGCAACGCACAGCUCCUAGGGGCCAUCACCCACUAGGAGGGCAGGGCCUUUUGUCUUUUUUUUUUUUUUUUUUUUUGAGACAGAGUCUCUGUCUAUCACCCCAGCUGGAGUGCAGUAGCAUGAUCUCGACUCACUGCAACCUCCGCCUCCCGGGUUCAAGCGAUUCUCCUGCCUGCCUGAGCCUCCUGAGUAGCUGGGAUUACAGGAGUACGCCACCAAGCCCGGCUAAUUUUUUAUUUUUAGUAGAGAUGGGGUUUCACCAUGUUGGCCAGGCUGGUCUCAAACUCCGGACCUCAUGAUCCACCCACCUUGGCCUCCCAGAGUGCUGGGAUUACAGGUGUGAGCCACUGCACCCGGCCAGAUUUUUGUCUUUUUACUGUUGUAUCUCCCCACAUAGUAAGUGCCUAAUCAAUUGAGUUGAAUAAAUGAAUUCUUGCCCCAUCUACCAGAUUCUACCUCAGGGGCAGCUUCACACACACAUACAUACACACACACACACACAUACCUACACACACACACACACACACACACAUACAUACACACACACAUAUGCAUGUGCACUCAGGCACACACGCAUGUGCUCACUCACACAUGUACUCAUGUUCUGGGGCCGGCACAGAGGCUGGGGGAGAGUAAGGAAGUGGGGAGGGGCAUCUUUGGCAGGGGAAGGGUGCUGGUAGGACAAGAGCAAAGCGCAGAGGGACUGAGGGGUGGUGAGAACGGAUCUUCUCACAGUUGAGGCCUGUAAAAAAAAAGAAACCACACGGAGGCUGAGGGCAAAGUGCCCUAAAUUGGAAGUCUGGCCUAAGAUCUGACGAUGAAUGGUUUUCAAACUCUGGAGGCGGUCUGCUUACGAAAACUCUUGUUUGCACUGAGUAUACAGAAAGGGCACUGAGUGGGGCAAAGAUGGCCCCACAUGCUUGAACUUGCCUGUGAGUCUGGACUCAGACCCAGUUGUAGGGUGGACCUGUGGGCGGGGCUAAUUUUGUAGUGUCCAGAAGAGCACCAAGGGAGUUUUUGUGAAUUGGACUUCCACCCUAAGCGAUACUAGGUUUAGUUCCAUUUUCCGUCUGGAGAGAAGUCCUUUGCAGCAUUUCGUUUGGCGGAAGAGUUUUGCAUAAUAUUUCACACAGUGUUCCUUGCACAAGCUUUCAUUACCCCAUGACCAGGCUAGGGACUCCCCGCCUUCUAUGACCAGGUGAAGAGUGAGUCUCCUACUCCAAGCUCCCCCUGUUCGCCUGGUUUUGAUGCCCUGUUUCAGUGCAUCAUCUGGUAAUUUCGUGACCUGCAAUCGGCAGAGUGGGCUCGACUCAUCUUCUAUUUCUAUGCUGCCCACUGUGUCCUUCUGAAAGGGCUGAGCCCUGGGUCUGGUAAUUUUGGACUGUCUGCAAUUUGGAAUGGGUGUGUCACUACUGCCCUCUAGAACCAGGUCUUGGUUAUUGAUUGCAGCUCCCAGAAAGGAACCCUGCAAACACAACCCUUGGUUAAGGCAGGCAGUCUGUCUUCUCCUUUUCAAUAAUAACUUCAUGUUUGAGGUUAAUAAGUGGAGGUUCUUUAAAGGGCACACAAUUGAGGCCCCACACUCCGCUAGCUGCUUUCCCGUGAGAACUUCCAACAGGGCUGUGGUUUGCUGUUUAUAGAGAAGGGGUGAAGAGCCAGGGCUGGAAUGUGCAUUAUAAAUGACAACGUAGGCCAAGCAUGGUGGUUCACAUCUGCAAUCCCAGCACUUAGGGAGGCCGAGGUGGGAGGAUUGCUUGAGCCCAGGAGUUUGAGACCAGCCUGGGCAACAUGGUGAAACACUGUCUCUACUAAAUAUACAAAAAAUUAGCUGGGGAUGGUGACGCAUGCCUGUAGUCCCAGCUACCUGGGAGGCUGAGGUGAGAGGGAUCACCUGAGCCUGGGAGGUUGAGAACUGCAGUGAGCUAUGAUCGCACCACUGCACUCCAGCCUUGGUGACAGAGUGAGACUCUUUCUCAAACAAACAAACAAACAAAAGAUGGCAAUGUACAGUUGCUGGACAAACUGCCUCACUGGAAUUCAACCUUGGAGAAGUGAUGGAUUUUUCUUAGUGUUGGCAGAGCCGUAUGGUUAGCAUGCUCCUCUGCCUCGUGUUUUCGUUUAAGUCCUCGUGCUUUCCUCCUUGUCCUAAAGUAGUCAGGGACCAAGUUGCACAGUCUCUGCAUCCUCCAUGAUACCUGACACAGUGUCUGGAACAGAGAAGUUGCUCAAUAGGGAAUUUUCUUUCUUCUUUCUUUUUUUUUUUUGAGACAGAGUCUCACUCUGUUGCCCAGGCUGGAGUGCAAUGGCUCGACCUCAGCUCACUGCAACCUCUGCCUCCCAGGUUCAAGCGAUUCUCCUGCCUCAGCCUCCCGAGUAGCUGGGAUUACAGGCAUGCGCCACCACGCCUGGCUAAUUUUUGUAUUUUUAGUAGAGACGGGAUUUCACCAUGUUGUUCAGGCUGGUCUCGAACUCCUGACCUCAUGAUCCACCCUCCUCAGCCUCCCAAAGUGCUGGGAUUACAGGCAUGAGCCACUGUGCCCGGCCAAGAAUUUUCUUUUUUUAGAGACAGUGUCUUGCUCUGUUAACCAGGCUGGAGUGCAGUGGUGGACCCAUAGGUCACUGCAGCCUCGAAGUCCUGGGCUCCAGUGAUCCUCCUGCUUUAGCCUCCCAAGUAGCUGGGACUACAAGCGCGUGCCACCACACUUGGCUAAUUAAAAAACAAUUUUUUUUUGUAGAGAUGGGAUCUAUGUUGCCCAGGCUUGUCUCAAUUCCCGGCCUUAAGCGAUCCCCCCGCCUUGGUCUCCCAAAGUGCUGGGAUUACAAGUGUGAGCCACCAGCACCUGGUCCAUAGAGAACUUUACAGCGAGAGAUGAUUGAUCUUCCUCCCUGACCUUGUGAACCUUCCCACUGAUGCUGUGUUUGCCAAGUAGGGAAUGCGGCUCUCCACUAAGUGUCGCCUGUAAACCCUAUGGAGUCAGAUUCUGCUGGCUCUGCACAGCGAGGACAUGUGGGUUUCAUUCUUGUAUUCUUGUAAAGUUAACAAUACAACUUAUGGGGAAUUUAAUAGCUGGAAAGUUGUAUCAGUCCUCUAUAAGCCCUGGGUGAAUCUUUGAGUAGCAAAUGAAUAAAACAGUAUGGCAAAGGGAGUCUAAUCACUAGUUAAGCCCUUGCUAAAAUUGCCAACUCACUAAGAAGGUAGUCUUUUUACAUUUUUAAAGGACUUGUUAACAAGUGAGCUGAUGAUACAUUGGCCCUGGGGGAGGACAUCAGUUUCUUCUUUGCUUGUGUGAAAGAGUUCUAUAAAAAUGAAAUGCAUGACCGACAACUUCUUACUUUUUCAAACAGAGGUAUUAUUCUGCAGUGGUAUCACUGGGGCAUAGCAAUGGCAGGAAGAGCUUAGGACUCGGAGUCCUAAACCACUAAGCUCGUAGCUAGGAUGAUCACAAAAAACAGGUAAAAAACAUUGUUAACAAUGGUCUUCAACCUUGAUGUCCAGCUUCUGGUCUGUACAGGGGGAGUUCCAUGAUCUACUCUUCCCCUGGAGUCACACAGUCCACUGGGGAGAGAUGCCCAAGGCAGACCUUCCCUCCCCAACUCUUCAGGCUCUCCAAGUCCUCUCUCCAAGUUUGUUUUGCUUACGCCUGUUUCCUUUCAUUUACCACUUUCCCUUUCAGGCCAGGGUCAAAGGAACCUAAUGUGAAAAUGUUUCAGUCUUUUGAUGAAGUAUUCCAGAACACAGAACUCCUUAUCAUACAGAACAUCAAGUUCCUUUAAGAUAUGGGUUGCUAUCUCCAAUUCAUUUUGGGAAGAGGUGAGGUAUUAAAUAUUUAUAUUAAUUAAAUAGAAUUAUCCUAAAAUAACAUAAGUUGGCUUACCCCUGGGCAGGAAGUCUCAUUUACAAGUGAGCACACCCACCUGUUGAUACCCAGGGCCAUCAUGUCUGCCAAGCAAAAUAAACUCCUUCAUGAACAGACAGGAGCCACGCUGUUCCCUCUGUGCCCAGUCACCAGAACAAGGCUCUUAAAUCCCAAAGAUCGAUCAGGC